AAUAACAAUUGCUUAUAAAAAGUUAUUAAAUUUGUGAGAUUCUCAAUAUGAUACAUUUCAGCUACUGACACAAGAGAAGAAUGUGGGGCAAGUGCCAAUAAAGGUUUGACUGAUGGGGUAUACCUGACUUCUCGGCAUUCUGGUUAUCACCAUCCGAUUCAGACAUGCCAGUGAAGAUCAACUUCAAGGUGACCCUUGCAUUGUGAGCUUUUGCUGAUGGACACAAAUUGUUCAGAAAAAAUCCAGCUACCACAUUAAUCACAGCCUGAUAGAUUUCUAGCGUGACUUCAGAAGAAACAUAGAUGCAAUGAUGAAACAUUAUCUCCAGACAUAUGGGUGGCCCUUGAGCAGAGAAUUGUCAAAAAUUGAAGCAUUCAAUAAAGAAGAUUAAGAAACAGAAUGUGUCCAGUUGUUUGUUCAUCCAAAGAAUAACUUGGAUAAUCAUAGUGGUGCUUCCUCAAAAUCUGCAUGUGUUUGAAUU